rnacentral:rRNA from 1 species
GAUGCACGCUGACAGAAUGCUUAACACAUGCAAGUCAACUGUGGUGGACGGGUGAGUAACGCGUAAAGAACUCGCCAUACGGCUAGGGACAACAUUUGGAAACGAAUGCUAAUACCCGUUUCUGUGAGAGAACUUUGCGUCCCAUUAGCUCGUUGGAGAGGUAACGGUUCACCAAGGCGUUGAUGGGUAGCCGGCUUGUGGGGGUGAUCGGCCACAAGGGGACUGAACCACGGCCCUUACUCCUACGGGAGGCAGAGGUGGGAAGUAUUGAACAAGGGACCAAAGUCUGGUCGAGCAAUGCUGUGUGCACGAUGGAGUUUUCGGAGUGUAAAGUGCUUUCAGUUGGGAAGCGGUACCAACAGAAGAAGUGACGGCUAAAUACGUGCCAGCAGCCGCGAUAAUAC